rnacentral:tRNA from 1 species
AUUUAAAUAGCUUAUUUUAUAGAGCAUAAUAUUGAAGAUAUUAAGGAGAUAGAUUUAUCUUUAAAUA